CUGUUUCUAAGGGUGAAGCAAGAAAAUGGAUGUCCAUUACUUGGUACACCACACACUGAAACACUGUUUUCUCUCCUGCAGUUCCUGCCUUUGUCCAUUGGGACAUAGCUCCUGAGUCACCUCCCCUGGGAAGCCUGCCCAGCUACACUGAAGCUCAAAGAAGUUAAGCGGUUUGUCCAAGGUCACCUGAAACGUGGAGGGGUAGGAUAUGACUAUCCACUCUCAUCAGCAGCAUUCUGGAGUCUCCUCCCCACUGGAAUAUUCUUUCAACUCUACACAGCUGCAGCUGCAGGCUCAGGUGCAACACAGUCACGUGGUGGGCUGAGAGGGCAGCCAGGCCAACAAUCCUGGCAUUCAAAAUGUUAAAUAAAAAAUUCUUACAAGAAUGUACUGUAUAUUCAACAUACUUUAACCUGGCUCCAUUCCCCCAACAGUUCUUUUUCUUACCUUUUCCCCCUCACAUACAACCCGUUUGUUCCUGUAGACAACUUUGUUUUUACUCUGAAUAUAUGCGCACAUGCCUUUAUGUGACUAUAUAAAAUCUAGGAACCACAAAUGACAGGAAAAUGUACUUAUCUUUCUGAGAGUGGCUUAAUAUGAUUGUCUCCAUUUACACUAUUUUCUUUCAAAGAACAUAAUUUUCAUUUUUCUUUAUGGCAGAAAAAACCUACUGUGUACAUAUACCACAUUGUAGGGAGAGACCUCUACACUCUCUCACCGGGUUCCAGUCAGGUCUCAGACUGCUGCUGAGACUGAAUUCUCGGAGUGCCGAUCCGGUCAUUGGUUCCUUGUUUGUGAACCUUCCUAUCAACUGUAAAGCAGGAGAGCUAAUCUUACCUGCCUCCAUCUCAAGGACAU
rnacentral:lncRNA from 1 species